rnacentral:tRNA from 1 species
GGGAAGGUGGCUCAGUGGUAGAGCGCUUGCCUUACAUGCAUAAGGCUAUGGGUUCGAUUCCUCAGUACCA